CCGAAGUUGACGAAUUGUCGAAGUCCGAAUUUCGGAAUGCCGAACCUAAAAUUUUCCCCAUGCACAUGCCUAUGUGUUUUUACUUCUAUUGGACUAUGUAUGGCCCUUGUUAAACUUAAACCCCAUGGCGAUUUUAUUCUGUUUGUGGGAUCUGAGCGCUGUUCGGAUAUAUUGAGCGCUCAGAUCCAAGCUAUUCGGGAAUAGGUUGAAUGUGGGGGUUCUGUUCAGUAUGAUAGGAAUUAUGUAUUUUUAUGUGUUUUUACUGUUGUUGUAAAUUUAGAUAUUUUCUGUAUGCUGGAGAUAAUUGGCAUAACACACCCAAGCCAUACUUGCAGUCGUGUAAAAAAG